CUAGUUGUUUCUUUGUAGAUUUCUUAGACCGUUUAUCCACUGUAUGCAAGCAUGAGAAUUUCAUAACUAAGCCGUUGCUAGAUUUAUCUUUGCUUUACUGAAUACGUUUAUGUAUCACAAUUUAACCAAUGGGGGUAAAUGCUACUUCUUCCGGGUUCGUCUUGCCCAGAGCUAUAUGACUUCGUAUCCCAACCAUUUGUGUUGAGUAACUUCAAACCUUUUAAUCCAGGAAUUCUUGUUUUAUGUGUGUGUGAGAAUAACUGUGCAAUGUAAGUUAGAUCUCUCAGUUUCAUAGCUUUGAUAAAUUCCUAAGAUCAAAAUUUUGAGUAUUGCUUUGCAUGUUCAGGUCCUGCUAGAGCUUGCAAGGAACAGAAACAAAAUGCCACUGCAGAAGUCGAUUACAUGGCCUUGGAAUCCCAGUCCCACCAAAUGAAGACACACUGAUCAGCCUAACUACCACCUUGCGAUUCCCAGACAACCACUAGCCCAAGCAGAUAAAGGAAUGGAGGAAGAUGCAGAGGUGGUCAAUCCUAAACAAAACUCCAAUCUAAGUCCAUCCCAGGAACAAAAGACAAAUCGGAGACAAGCUACUCCUAAAAGAGUAUCCUUUCCCCUCGCUGGAAAAAGUCCAGGGUGAAAUCUAGUAAAUGUCAAUGUUUUCAAAGAAAACUAUUCUCUUUACUGUCCAUUUAGGUUUUUGUAUCCGAAUACAACGUUCCCACUUUAGUGCUGAGCGUAAGGAGACUCAAGUAGUACCGGUUCCACCUACCAGUGGGUCAACAACUUGGACCUUAAAGCUUGUGCUUUUACUAUGCAGCCAGAGCCUGAUAAAAAUAAAGGAUUUCAGGGGAAUUUUCGGGUAGGAAGCUUGUUGAUGGUGCUACACCAAAUCAAAUGCAGGCUACUAGUGCUGGAUUCUGGAUUGGAUAUAUCUAUCCUCAUGAAGAUCUUCAGCCGUGUUCUCAUUGGUUGUAGAGUUGGCACCACAAAUUCUGUGGGUUUUUUUUUCAGCCACGCAAUGAAUUGGAUAGGGACAGUACUGACUGAUAUUUUGAGUAUUAUUAGUUGAUAUUUGCUGCCGCACAGGGCCGUACCAAGUUUUUUAAGGGCCCUAGGCGAAAGUCGUUUUUUUUCCCGAUCGUUUAAAGUAAGAA